CUAGGUGUGUACAUUACACUAACAGGUCAUGAUAUUAUGUAUAUUUCAUGUUUUAAUUGUUCACACUUAAUUGUAGUAUCAUUCAUAAUGAUAUCACAAAAAUCAUCCUUUAUUAUAAACUUAUAACCAAGUUUGGCCAAAAGGCCUACAGAGAUGACAUUCAUCAUAAAGGAGGGACAAUAAUGACAAUCAUCUAACAUGACACUACU
rnacentral:lncRNA from 1 species